rnacentral:tRNA from 1 species
UGGCUCAGUGGUAGAGCGCUUGCCUUGCAUGCAUGAGGCCCUGGGAUCAAUUCCCCAG